AGAAAAGUGACCGCCGCCCCGCGCAGGGGCGACGCCAGCAGACCGUUAGCGAAACAGGUUCAACGACAGGGCGAGGCGGACCGACAAAAAACCACGCCCCCGCGAGCCCCUC
rfam:Burkholderia ambifaria IOP40-10 ctg00660, whole genome shotgun sequence.